rnacentral:lncRNA from 13 species
GGCUCUGGUGAGUGGUGACCACUCUCAAACACCUGGGCUCCAGCCACACAAUCUCCUUUCUCUUAGGGUGUCCAUGUACAUUGAAAUCUCAGAGUUCCGGCUUCUUCUGCAGAUUCAAAGAGACAGGACCUGUGAGAUGUUACUGAAAGAAGAGGGUGGAUUCUUCUGGAACACUGCGCUGUCUUCAUUUUGAACUCUGAAACUGUGAAACCAAGAUAUGAGAAUAGUUUCUGGGACAUCAGUGGCUGUGAUCCUCAGCAGGACCUGUGGAGAAGAGUUGAGAUAGUUCUUGGUUCUUUAUUCCCGCUCAAAAAACCUGUUGCCUCUGCCAGGUGAGGACUGCUCCCUUCCUUCUCUCACACACCUAGGCUCUAGCUGCAGCUUAUUCUUCCUUUCUCUGGGUUCAUGUGAGUCAACAUUUCAAAGACAUUGUUUCUCCCAACACCAUUUAUUAAAUAGAGCAUCUUUUUCCCAUUACUGGUUUUUGUCAGGUUUGUCUAAGAUCAGAUCGUUGUAGAUGUGUGGCAUUAUUUCUGAGGCAUCUGUUCUGUUCCACUUAUCUAUAUCUCUAUUUUGGUACCACUAUCAUACUGUUUUGAUUACUGUAGCCUUGUAGUAUAGUUUGAAGUCAGGUCGCAUGAUGCCUUCAGCUUUUUUUUUUUUUUUUGCUUCCCCCUGCCCCUUAGGAUUAUCUUGGCUCUGCGGUCUGUUUUUUGCUUCCACAUAAAAUUUAAGGUCUUUUUUUCAAUUCUGUGAAGAAAGUCAAUGUUAGCUUAAUAGAGGUAGCAUUGAAUCUAUAAAUUACUCUUUUUUACAAAUUUUGCUCUUCAGUUUUACAAUCAGGGAAUGUAAACCAUUUAUAGGAAACUUGAUACUACUUAUUAAAGAACGGUAUAUUAUGAUAAGUAAUUAUUAAUCUCACACUUCAUUAACCACUCCAAUUCUUUUUUUUUUUUCUUUUGUAUUUUUUAUUGCAUUUUAGGUUUUGGGGUACAUGUGCA